GGAAGAAACAGUGCCUGAGGGAGAAGUGGUGAAGCUCUAGGAAAGAUUUCAGCCCCAAAUUUAUUCUCUCAAGUUUCUGCUCCUUCAGUCGCCCACUCAUUUGGGUCCAUUACAGUACCUUCUACACAGAACAGAGAAGUCUGUGGACACUAGCUGAACGACAGAAAGGGUGGCUCAGCAUCAUCUUGGCCAGGAAUUAAUUGUGUGAAGAGAAAUAGGAUCAAGGAUAUCAUUUCUUCCCAGGAGGACAGCUUUGCCAAAGGCCUGGCUCUGCAAGGGAAAAAGAGGAUAAACACCCAGAGACACAAACAGUGGAGAGUCACUGACCUUGUGUGCCAUCAGAGCUGAAGAUGCUCCAAGACAUGCUCCAUCUGGCAGAGGAAGGAGGGCCUCGCUGGAGACUCCUCAUUGCCGGCUUCCCAACAAGGAGACUCACAGUGGCUUUCUUGUAGAGAUUUGUUCCAACUGAGCAAGAGAUUCCCUAAGUUGGAAGAGUUCCCGGAGAGCCUCUGCAAAAUUCCUGUAGAAGCUCUAGCAGGACUCUCCCCAGAUGAAUCUGCUUUCAUUUAGCCUACGUCCUGGUUACUGCUAAGUAAGGAAGAAGCUGUUCAGGAUCCCCACUAAGCCUGUGCUGUUUUGUUCCAUCUCAGACCUUCAUGGC